CGUUUUUGCUGGAGCCAUUAUUACUGAGGAUAAGUUGUGACAAACGAUUCCGCCAAUAAAUUAACGCGAAGAUGAGUUCCACCAAUAAGAGGAAUGAUUGCGAACAAGUACCGUGAGGGAAAGAUGAAAAGAGCUUUGAAAAGAGAGUUAAAGAGUACCUGAAACUGCUGGCGAAUCGUAUCCAUGUCUAUAAUCCGCAACAUAUUACACUGAUGUGUUUUUUUGCUUUCCGCGUGUAGGUAGUGGCCUUGGUUGCACCUUGCGUGGAUUGGUUGAGACAUACCGUGGACCUGAGUUGUGGUAGGACGUCAAAGUCAGUUUGUACGUCGCAGGAAAUGAUGGACGAGGAAGACAGGUUUGCUGGUUGCAGCGUUCCAUCCUUGUCGAUGUCUGCUGUGACGGAGACUGAGUUGUCUUUAACAUGCUCUCGAGUCUAUUAGACAUUCACUUGGUUGAGUGCGUAGAUAGCUUGCUAUGUACGUGUUUAUACACGGUGAUUGUGUUUGAUAGUAACUUGUUGCUGUUCGGGACUUUGGCGAAAUGGAGCGAUUCGGCCCGUCUUGAAAC
rnacentral:ncRNA from 1 species